GCCGCUACCGCGUCUCUCGGACCCCGAAAGGGACGAUGCUGCGGGGCGCCGGGGGGCAAAAAUGUCUCUCUCCGGUGCUCCCGCGGCCCAAGCCCUCGAGCUCGAGGCCGGGCAGGGCCUUUUGAGCUUUUGAGGCAUGAAUCCAUAUAGACGAAGAAGAAGACACCAACAGUAAGACAGGUGGUUUAAUUCAUUCUCCAGUAUAUCAUGAAAGUGUGGAAGCCUGGCAGAUACUGUUUGCAACAUGUUUAUUCCUGUAAAAAUUGUUUACAAAGUAUCAAUGGUAAAAAAAAAAAUUGAGCUGUCCCAAUUUUAGCUAUUAGCUGCGGUUCUUAGAAUUAGACAGGGUCCUACGAGCAUCCCACAUACCCACAGACAUGGCGAUUUUGGUGAUGCCCCCCCCUGGUGGAGGUCUUUCAGUCCCUGAGCUUCCACUCUGUGACACUCACACUGAAUGAGCCGGGGAAGCAAACUGCUACCUGUCUCAUUGAAUCCCUGAGCAAACACUGUGGGGGACUCACACUGGAAGUCCUCUCUGGGGUGGGGCUGGGUGACCCUUUCAGUCCCUGAGCACGCACUGAGGGCGAAUCACACUGGUAGAGUGAACAGGGUCCACUCCUCCAAUGCCUGAGGACCCCCUCAGUGAGACUCAAACUGGAAGGCAAUCCUUUGCAAUCGCCUCACACUAGAAAUAAGGCGUCCUUGGUGGUCUCUGAGCUUGGUGGUUUUCUUGUAGACGUUUCAUUAGCAAACUAGGGAACAUCAUCAGUGCUAGUAGAAGGGAGUGUGGUUUGCUGUCAGGUUAUGUUCGAGUAGCUUCUUUCAGUGUUGUUUAAAAUGGUCUUGGAGGUCCUUUGUUGUGCUAUUUGUUGUUAGCUUGACCGUUCCUUGAUUGCGGUGUUGUUUUCUUGCCAUGGCGAUGGCUUUUAGAACCUGAAAUAAAACUUCAACGGCCAUUUUUAAUAUUAGCUGUGGCCGUUGAGGUUAGGGUUUUCUAGCUUUGCAGACUGAGCGGAGGAAGAAUCGCACACCUGCUGCUAAAAGUUCCUCGAAAGAGACAACACUUGCUGGCCACGACUGAGGAAGAAACAAAAGCAAAAGAAGAAAGAAGAAAGCAUGAAAAUGUCUCCAGCUCAAGCCCUUCGGCUGUGAUGUGGUCUCCUACGCUGUGAGGCAUGUAUUCUACACCACCUUAGAAGACAGAAGUCUCAGUCGUCAGCCUGCGCCGUUGAUGGAAGAAGGAAGAAUGGAACGCAAGAAUGAAUAUGAUCUCCAUCAAGAAUGCUACUUCACCAAGUCAAUCAAAACUCACCUUUAGAUGCUAGAUUUUAUACCAUUCUUGCCUGCUGUAAAUUUAGCCAUGGCGAUGGUUAUUAGAACCAAAAAAACCCUCCUCAAUGGCCCUAUUUAAUCCUAGGCAUGGCUGUUGAUGGAUUAUAGAUUUUAUAGUUUUCUGCCUGGCGUAAUUCUAGCCAUGGCAAUGGUUCUUAGAACCAGAAGGAAAACCUCA